UACGUAGGGUGCAAGCGUUAAUCGGAAUUACUGGGCGUAAAGCGUGCGCAGGCGGUUUUGUAAGAUAGAUGUGAAAUCCCCGGGCUCAACCUGGGAAUUGCAUAUAUGACUGCAAGACUUGAGUUUGUCAGAGGAGGGUGGAAUUCCAAGUGUAGCAGUGAAAUGCGUAGAUAUUUGGAAGAACACCGAUGGCGAAGGCAGCCCUCUGGGACAUGACUGACGCUCAUGCACGAAAGCGUGGGGAGCAAACAGGAUUAGAUACCCCUGCUGACUGACU
rnacentral:rRNA from 1 species